rnacentral:rRNA from 1 species
CAAUAGCGUAUAUUAAAGUUGUUGCAGUUAAAAAGCUCGUAGUUGGAUUUCUGGUCGGAAGCUCCUGUCCUCUGAUGAGCGUACAAGUGCGUCCUACCAUCCUUCUGUUAACCUUUAAGGCUUUCGCGGCUUUCUAGGGGCUCAGAUAUUUUACCUUGAGAAAAUUAGAGUGUUUCAGGCAGGCUAGCGCCGGAAUACAUUAGCAUGGAAUAAUGGAAUAGGACUUUUGCCUCUUCUGUUGGUCAUGAGGCUCGAGUAAUGAUUAAUAGGGGUAGUUGGGGGCAUUAGUACUUAACUGUCAGAGGUGAAAUUCUCGGAUUUGUUAAAGACUAACUUAUGCGAAAGCAUUUGCCAAGGAUGUUUUCAUUA